CAGAAGUUGUGUCCUUAAGGGGUUAAAAGAGCUUAGUGGUGUACUAGCAAAACCAUUAACAGAUUUAUUUAACCAAUCAUUGUUAACAGGAGUAGUCCCAGAAGAUUGGAAGUUAGCGAAUGUUGUGCCGAUUCACAAGAAAGGUAAUAGGGAGGAGUCGGGCAACUAUAGGCCAGUAAGCCUUACUUCAGUAGUGGGGAAAGUGAUGGAAAGUGAUGUUAAAGGAUAGGAUUG